CCUACGGGAGGCAGCAGUGAGGAAUAUUGGUCAAUGGGCGCGAGCCUGAACCAGCCAAGUCGCGUGAGGGAUGAAGGUUCUAUGGAUCGUAAACCUCUUUUAUAAGGGAAUAAAGUGUGGGACGUGUCCUAUUUUGUAUGUACCUUAUGAAUAAGGAUCGGCUAACUCCGUGCCAGCAGCCGCGGUAAUACGGAGGAUCCGAGCGUUAUCCGGAUUUAUUGGGUUUAAAGGGUGCGUAGGCGGCCUGUUAAGUCAGCGGUGAAAGUCUGUGGCUCAACCAUGGAAUGGCCGUUGAAACUGGGGGGCUUGAGGAUGUUUGAGGCAGGCGGAAUGCGGGGGGUAGCGGUGAAAUGCUUAGAUAUCACGCAGAACCCCGAUUGCGAAGGCAGCAUGCCAAGCCAUGACUGACGCUGAUGCACGAAAGCGUGGGGAUCAAACAGGAUUAGAUACCCGAGUAGUC
rnacentral:rRNA from 1 species